rnacentral:ncRNA from 1 species
CGCCCUGCACGCAACUGGCGAUAGGCGCCGGGCCCUCCAAGGCCCAUGGCGCUGACGUGGGACACCACUGGGAAGCGUGCCGCAACCCUCUCGGGCUUGUGAUCAGCCGUUCGCCUGGGCAGCCCUG